rnacentral:rRNA from 1 species
CCUGCACUUGAUUAGUUUGUUGGUGGGGUAAUGGCCUACCAAGACUUUGAUCAAUAGCUGAUUUGAGAGGAUGAUCAGCCACAUUGGGACUGAGACACGGCCCAAACUCCUACGGGAGGCAGCAGUGGGGAAUCUUGCACAAUGGAGGAAACUCUGAUGCAGCGAUGCCGCGUGAGUGAAGAAGGCCUUUGGGUUGUAAAGCUCUUUCGUCGGGGAAGAAAAUGACUGUACCCGAAUAAGAAGGUCCGGCUAACUUCGUGCCAGCAGCCGCGGUAAUACGAAGGGACCUAGCGUAGUUCGGAAUUACUGGGCUUAAAGAGUUCGUAGGUGGUUGAAAAAGUUGGUGGUGAAAUCCCAGAGCUUAACUCUGGAACUGCCAUCAAAACUUUUCAGCUAGAGUUUGAUAGAGGAAAGCAGAAUUUCUAGUGUAGAGGUGAAAUUCGUAGAUAUUAGAAAGAAUACCAAUUGCGAAGGCAGCUUUCUGGAUCAUUACUGACACUGAGGAACGAAAGCAUGGGUAGCGAAGAGGAUUAGAUACCCUCGUAGUCCAUGCCGUAAACGAUGUGUGUUAGACGUUGGAAAUUUAUUUUCAGUGUCGCAGCGAAAGCGAUAAACACACCGCCUGGGGAGUACGACCGCAAGGUUAAAACUCAAAUGAAUUGACGGGGACCCGCACAAGUAGUGGAGCAUGUGGUUUAAUUCGAAGAUACGCGCAGAACCUUACCAACACUUGACAUGUUCGUCGCGACUUUAAGAGAUUAAAGUUUUCGGUUCGGCCGGACGAAACACAGGUGCUGCAUGGCUGUCGUCAGCUCGUGUCGUGAGAUGUUGGGUUAAGUCCCGCAACGAGCGCAACCCUCACUUUUAGUUGCCAUCAUUUAGUUGGGCACUCUG